GCAAGUCGAACGCGUUGGCCCAAUUGAUUGAUGGUGCUUGCACCUGAUUGAUUUUGGUCGCCAACGAGUGGCGGACGGGUGAGUAACACGUAGGUAACCUGCCCAGAAGCGGGGGACAACAUUUGGAAACAGAUGCUAAUACCGCAUAACAGCGUUGUUCGCAUGAACAACGCUUAAAAGAUGGCUUCUCGCUAUCACUUCUGGAUGGACCUGCGGUGCAUUAGCUUGUUGGUGGGGUAACGGCCUACCAAGGCGAUGAUGCAUAGCCGAGUUGAGAGACUGAUCGGCCACAAUGGGACUGAGACACGGCCCAUACUCCUACGGGAGGCAGCAGUAGGGAAUCUUCCACAAUGGGCGCAAGCCUGAUGGAGCAACACCGCGUGAGUGAAGAAGGGUUUCGGCUCGUAAAGCUCUGUUGUUAAAGAAGAACACGUAUGAGAGUAACUGUUCAUACGUUGACGGUAUUUAACCAGAAAGUCACGGCUAACUACGUGCCAGCAGCCGCGGUAAUACGUAGGUGGCAAGCGUUAUCCGGAUUUAUUGGGCGUAAAGAGAGUGCAGGCGGUUUUCUAAGUCUGAUGUGAAAGCCUUCGGCUUAACCGGAGAAGUGCAUCGGAAACUGGAUAACUUGAGUGCAGAAGAGGGUAGUGGAACUCCAUGUGUAGCGGUGGAAUGCGUAGAUAUAUGGAAGAACACCAGUGGCGAAGGCGGCUACCUGGUCUGCAACUGACGCUGAGACUCGAAAGCAUGGGUAGCGAACAGGAUUAGAUACCCUGGUAGUCCAUGCCGUAAACGAUGAGUGCUAGGUGUUGGAGGGUUUCCGCCCUUCAGUGCCGGAGCUAACGCAUUAAGCACUCCGCCUGGGGAGUACGACCGCAAGGUUGAAACUCAAAGGAAUUGACGGGGGCCCGCACAAGCGGUGGAGCAUGUGGUUUAAUUCGAAGCUACGCGAAGAACCUUACCAGGUCUUGACAUCUUGCGCCAACCCUAGAGAUAGGGCGUUUCCUUCGGGAACGCAAUGACAGGUGGUGCAUGGUCGUCGUCAGCUCGUGUCGUGAGAUGUUGGGUUAAGUCCCGCAACGAGCGCAACCCUUGUUACUAGUUGCCAGCAUUAAGUUGGGCACUCUAGUGAGACUGCCGGUGACAAACCGGAGGAAGGUGGGGACGACGUCAGAUCAUCAUGCCCCUUAUGACCUGGGCUACACACGUGCUACAAUGGACGGUACAACGAGUCGCGAACUCGCGAGGGCAAGCAAAUCUCUUAAAACCGUUCUCAGUUCGGACUGCAGGCUGCAACUCGCCUGCACGAAGUCGGAAUCGCUAGUAAUCGCGGAUCAGCAUGCCGCGGUGAAUACGUUCCCGGGCCUUGUACACACCGCCCGUCACACCAUGAGAGUUUGUAACACCCAAAGUCGGUGGGGUAACCUUUAGGAGCCAGCCGCCUAA
rnacentral:rRNA from 1 species